GUCAAAGGUAAAUAAAAACAAAAAAGUCAGCCGUUCAUAUCGCAUCAUUUUACUUUUCCUUCUGCUGAAUAAUUAAUUUUAGACCUAUUUGUGUUAAUAUUAUCAACUUUUGUGUGAUCGGUGCCAUGACCGCUGCUGACCGAGCCGCUUACAAACUUGUGCUAAACGUUGAUACUUUUAUCCCUGUGCGACGUUCGCUGUACAUCGUGAAAACGGCGGAGAAUGGAAGCGCUGAAAUUGGUACUAGUGGUCAAACAGAGACCGGUAAGCGGAUCGUAUAAAACUACCAAAGGAAUCACGGACUUCAAAAUGCGGAGUGCCAGUUUCAGUCAUGUAAUUCAAUCUCUUCUGCAUUGUACGGCGAUCAUUCUGAGAUGCAAGCAAUAAAUGCAGUAUGAAAUUAGUGACGAAAAAUUUUGAGUGAGAGUUAAAAAUCGUCAAAAGCACUGCAUGAUGAAGCAACAUUCCGUGUUCCACGAAGCAGGUAUUGAUAUUAAGAGGAAUACGGUGGCUGUGGCUAGGACACUGUGCAACCAAACCGAGUGUCGACGAAAACCUCCUAGGAAUGAAGAUGACGAUGGAGGAGUUAAUGUUUCUGCGAAGAACAUCCCAUGGAGUCGUAAACAUUACACGUAUCUAAAAACCGUCGAGCAGGUCAGGUGAAGGAUAUGGAAAUUGCCAGGGAAAUUACUCAUUUUUCCAUCAGGGAUUAUGAUUUGUGAUGUUCAUAUUGCAUAAUUUUUAUGAGGUGAACGAAAUGCAUUGGAAAAAAAAUAAAAUCAGACAUUCGAUUAAUGUAUUUCCCUGUGUACUUUUUUAUUUCGAAUUG